rnacentral:tRNA from 1 species
UGCGGCGUAGAGCAGAUGGUAGCUCGACAGGUUCAUACCCUGUAGGUCGUGGGUUCGAGUCCCGCCGCCGCUA